UUCACUCCAGAAUCUUCCCAUCCUCUCUCGAUUUCUCCACUGAGAGCUGCGAGACAAGGCCGACGAAGAUGCAGCCAGGCGGAGGAGUGGAGGACGUGCAGAGGGCGGCCCGUGGAACGGCGUCGCGGCGGUUGCGAGUCGUCGGAGGGAGCCAACGGGCUUCUCUGCCGGCGAGCAACAGCGUUGGAGAACCUUGGAGCUCGCCAAAAUCGUGGUGAUGGCGGCGGCUUCAGAGAGGAAUCGGGAAGGAGACCUUCCUGGUGUCGGCCGGAAAGUAGGUCUCUCUUCCACACCUCCGCCGACGACGGCGACCAGCACCGCCGAUGGGAUGGAUACCCCGCAUAGGUGUAGGCGGCGCUCUAUGUGUGGACGUCCGAGCCAGAGCUGUGCAGGAGCGGCAUAGGAUGCUGCUCCGGAGCGCCCACAUCUCCUCCCCAACUGGCCCGCUCGCCGCUCCUUGCUUCUUCCCGAGCGUCACGAAGGCCUCGAUGGGCUUCGUCCAGCGCGCGCUUGUGAUUCGGCGAUGCAACCGCCUGUUCCUUCCGCGCGCCCCGCUGUGGACCUCCUUGGGCGCCGCACCGGCAGGGAGUUUCACCAGCGCGCCGCCCCUGACCUCGCGAGCACGCCACUCACGUUCGCGGCCUCACCAACGCGCUACCCCCGAUGUCCACCAGCGCCGCUCUGAAUUCCUGAGCGCGUUGUUCCAGACUACCGAGCAAGCCGCUCCGCAUCUCCAACGAGGAAGGCUGCCGGAGGGUUCUUCCACGAACGCUGGCCCCAGGUAUUCCCUUCCAUAGCGAGCUGCCAUGCCCGGGUUUCAUUGCUCCUGUCUCUCCCCUGCCCAACUCCCUGUGACAGCCGGCCGUGGCGUGGGUUGCUGCAUCGUCUCACUUGGACGGCGGCCCCCGCCCACAAUGGUUAGUCUGCAGUGUGUGCUCUGGGCAACCAGUGGAACCACCGCCUGCUCUAGAUAUGGGAGGCGUUGUUUCCUAGAAGCCGCCUUCGACCACCAGAAGACGAGCACAAACAGCCCGCGAGUUCGUCGGCACCAUAGCGGUGGAUACUGUCAGAGCGGCGGCUCGUGGAAAAGGAGUAAUGCUGCGGUGCUCUGCCUACUUCCCGUCUUGCUGAAGCUUGACGACGAUGUCAUCGAUUGGAUUGGAACGAAAAUGAUCGUAUUGGAGCUCAUACUUGGACAUGGAUGCAAGUGGUGGAAGACAUUGCUGGAGAUUUGGCACUCCCGUUCAAUACCAAGGCAAUCAAAUGGAAUAUAUCUGGUGUGCCUCAAAAUAAAAAUAUCUUCGGAGGAAGAGUCCAUUUAAUGAUGUGGGUAGUUGUCUGCGGACUGCGGUAUGCGUACGGGUGAACUCCUUGCAUUCCGGCGGUUGGAUCCAAGGCCCCUGGUAGAUUUUCAUUCGGCUCACCAUCAUCAGCGAGACAAGCCUGUGUGCCUGUGUGUGCUCUGUGGUGUUCAGAAUUGAGGAAGACUUCUGUGGUUAUGCUGAAAUUUAGGAUACACCAUACAGCACUGCAGUCUGCAGUUGCAGUUCCCCCUUGGUACUUCAUCGAUUGGAGCCUUACGGCUAGCAAGAGAUUAGUCAUUGCUUGAAGUUUUGAAGUGGUGUGCAUACAGUACAGAAAAAUGUUCGCGAGUAAUCUAUCAACCUGUUAUCUCAAUAAGGAAGAGACAAGUUUUUAAAUUCAACAGUAACCGGAAUUGAAGAAAUUGAAAGGGCUUGGAGCUGAUGGAUUGGUUUGUUCAUGAAGAAGUAUUUGAAAGACCUCUGAUGAAGCUCGAAAACUGAGUCGUCUCUACUGUUUUAGCAUCACAACCAAUUCCAAUAAAAAAACGAAUGAAGCGAGGAAUGCGCCAACAUACGCUUUCAGGUGAUGCCUAAAUGUAUUCUGAAAAAUAAAAUUCAGGUUUGUGAUAUAAGAUUCCUGUCACACAUCACUUUACUUUGGCAGUACUGUUUAGAGCUGACAAACUAAUCUUAGAACAUGCAAGUCCACUGUGCUUCUGCCAUACAUUUGUAAGCCAAUACUUAUAUAUCACAUGCAAAAAGGAGGUGGCCCGGGCAAACAGAAAAUGUGAUUUCUUUCCCUGCUUCUCUUCUGUUCAUAUGUACAGUGAUGAACUGAUGAUCAUGGAGAUAGAUUGUUCUUUAUUAAGCGGAUAUUUCCUUGAUAUGUUAUAUUUUUUCACUACAUACUGUCCAACAUGAAUGUUCAAGUAUGCUUAUAUAAGAUCAAAUUGUAUAUUUAUUGCAAUUUCUUUAGAUUAUUUAUGUUCAUUUUACUGCUGAUUGUAGCACUACAGUUUAGAGAUGCAUCAAUUCGUUUUUUAGUUAAAAAAAUGGGGACUAUCUUAUAAAUCCACUAAGCAAAGUGGAGCUUACAGUUAUAGGACUGUCAUUAGUUCUGUAUGAACAAGAAUAUACAUAUAUAUGGUCUUUUUUUGCUUUCCAUUGCGAGAUAAAUACGGAGAAAGAUAUAUGUUAGAACUCAUUGUAGUCUUGCUCCUUUUUUAUGAUAUUCAUGCUCCAUCUCAGUAAAGACAUUUUCUUUCUCAGUAAACACAAUUUCCUGUGGGUUAAAACAUGUUUCGAGAAAUCUAAAUCAUCAUGCCAAGUCCCUAUCUAAAUGCAUUGGUAGGAUGGUCUAUUCUCUAUAAUUUGGGGAGUACUAUAAAUAUAUUGCAGAAACUCAUUUGUUGCUUCCAUUUUGGCUACCACCUAUGAUAGGCAUGUCAUUCUGUUAAGCAGCAACUAAUUUAUUUUUCAGUGCCUCUUUGGUUCAAAUUGCGGAACCCACAUUGCACUGCCUCACUGUUUCAGAAUGGUGCACUUAUAUAGUUACAGUAUCCUGUGAAAUUAAGUACUUGGCCAUUGAUGUAUGUUCGCCUUAACCAUCGGCCAUUGUGGUCUGGACCACAUGAACCAGCAUCUUAUCACACGAUAUUCUUUACCAUGUAAUCCAGUGAAGAUGUCGUUAUCCACUUAAGUAUCACAACUUAUAUUAUGUUCCUUAUCAUAUAUCUAAUGAAUUUUCAGAGACACUGAUCUUGAAACUGCUGCAAUUCAACAGCCUAUGAACAAUCGAACAUACAUAUGUAACCAUACCUUCAUGCCUUGGAUCUUUCCACUAUACAGAACAAUAGCCCAGUCAUUGUUGAUCAUCCGUUUACUAUUAGACCUCCACAUCAGCCUUAAUUUAACAUGAUUUAAAACAUCCUUUAUUCGGUUUUGAGCAUAACAAUUCAGUGAAAAUAAUAAUUCAGCUUUGAACAUAUUUUCCUCUGCAACGUUAUGGUGCAUAUGGUCAUUGCGUAAUAAAAUGUGAUUUCAGGGAGUACAAUGGCUAGGUGUUCAGGAAAUCCUGAGAAGGAUUGGAGUACAAUCAGAUCUUGGAAGAUCCUUUGCAUGGACAAACACUCAGCUCUUCUAGACAAGAACUUGCUACUUCUGCGGGGACCUCCUGAAGAUUGCCUGGACCUGAAUCUUCUGCUGUUGGGAUCUGUCAUUUGAAAUCCAUCCAUCCACCAGUGAAUCAUGUUGAUCGUUGGCGUCAGGAGAUUGCCUAUGAGAAAUUCAUUCAGCGAGCACAUAAGCUUCAGUUCUAAAAAACUGUAAAAUCAAGUUUCCUCUGUAGAUUUUCUUAUUUCUUCCUUCGUGUACUUGACGGAUGAGCUCUGCUAAAAAAAACUGGCACACUUGGGGUUACAUUUUAAAUGAAACCAGGAGACACGGCCCCUUUAAUUCUAAAAUAAACAUCAUUUAUUC